rnacentral:rRNA from 1 species
UACGGGGGGUGCAAGCGUUGUUCGGAAUUACUGGGCGUAAAGGGCUCGUAGGUGGCCAACUAAGUCAGACGUGAAAUCCCUCGGCUUAACCGGGGAACUGCGUCUGAUACUGGAUGGCUUGAGAUUGGGAGAGGGAUGCGGAAUUCCAGGUGUAGCGGUGAAAUGCGUAGAUAUCUGGAGGAACACCGGUGGCGAAGGCGGCGUCCUGGACCAACACUGACACUGAUGAGCGAAAGCCAGGGGAGCAAACGGG